rnacentral:rRNA from 1 species
AAUAUUGGACAAUGGGGGCAACCCUGAUCCAGCCAUGCCGUGUGUGUGAAGUAGGUCUUCGGAUUGUAAAGCACUUUAAGUUGGGAGGAAGGGCUUUAGGUUAAUAUCCUGAAGUUUUGACGUUACCAAAAGAAUAAGCCACGGCUCACUCAGUUCCAGCAGCAGCGGUAAUACAGAGGGUGCAAGCGUCAAUCGGAAUUACUUGUAGUAAAGCGCGCGUAGGUGGUUCAGUAAGAUGGGUGUGAAAUCCCCGGGCUUAACCUGGGAACUGCUUUCAUAACUGCUGAGCUAGAGUACGGUAGAGGGUAGUAGAAUUUCCUGUGUAGCGGUGAAAUGCGUAGAUAUAGGAAGGAACACCAGUGGCGAAGGCGACUACCUGGACUGAUACUGACACUGAGGUGCGAAAGCGUGGGGAGCAAAC